UACGUAGGGUGCGAGCGUUGUCCGGAAUUACUGGGCGUAAAGAGCUCGUAGGUGGUUUGUCGCGUUGUUCGUGAAAACCGGGGGCUUAACCCUCGGCGUGCGGGCGAUACGGGCAGACUUGAGUACUGCAGGGGAGACUGGAAUUCCUGGUGUAGCGGUGGAAUGCGCAGAUAUCGGUAGGAACACCAGUGGCGAAGGCGGUCUCCUGGGGCAUUCUUGACGCUGAUGCGCGAAAGCUGGGGGAGCGAACGGGG
rnacentral:rRNA from 1 species